AGAGAAGUAAAAAUGGGCUGAUGAGGCUUUCAUUCAGUAACACAACAGUGGCAACUUGAAUACUAAGGAAAAAUUUCACUUUAUAUAAAUGUGUGUGUGUGUAUGUAGUGGAUGCUUUCUCCUGCAUUAUUUUUUGAUGAAGAUGUUGAGAUGGCAUAUUUGGAUGCUUAACGAAAAAACUCCAAACCAUCUUUAGCUUCAGAUGCUGAAAAGAGUUGACUGUCUGCUCUUUCCCAUAGUGGAAGCAUCCUUUUGCUGCGUGAUUGACGUUACUGUUCUGGAGGGCAGCCCACACUGACUGAAAAUGAUCCUCACAGCGCAGAGAUGCACGCUAGAUUUCUUCCCAGUUAUGCAACAUGCUGGUCAUAUGCCAAAGCAGAAAAAUCACUGUUCACAGGACCAUGCAGGAAAACACCAGAAAUGUGAGAGCUAACCUGGGAGCCACAGGGGACUGACUAGGGGAGAUCACUGGGGUCUCUGUCGAGCACUCAGCAGAUGCCCAGGAUCAAUUGCCUGCUGUGACCUGAUCCUCCAGAAGGAGCGUGGGAUUAUACUGAGGCAAAAGUGACAGAACUAAUGGGGAGUCAACAACAAGCUUUUCCAGUCAGCAACACAAUGACAUUCAAAUAAUGUCUUAUUCUUCUUGCCUCACAUGUCCCUGUAAGGGACAUGCAUGUGGAGACUUUGAGUGAGCUGGACUUUCUCAGCCUGGAGGAGAGAAG
ensembl:lncRNA